GUGAGAAUCACAGUGCAGUUCUCCUCUGGCAUGGAAGCCAAUGCAGCAGGCGUUAGACAACGUACUAUGCUAUUGCUGUCGCUGCCAAAGGAGAAUUGCCCUGCCAUUCAACA
rnacentral:pre_miRNA from 1 species